AAUGCGAACGCUUCAUUUCUGGUGAAAAAAAAGAUGCCUCAGAAUUCUUCGAGUUGCUAUAUAUACCAAACCACUUUGCAUCGGACUCAUUGAAGAUAGACGCUGCAUCUCAGCAUCUCGUGUUCAGAAUCAAAGAAGCUGCUCGCCUGACUCCACUAUGGCCAAACUGUCUGGAAUCCUUCUCCAACUGGCUUUGAGCGCUGUCUUCGCUCUUGGGCUUCUCCAGAUGGCUGUAGCCGAUGACGAAAUGGCACGGGACCGCCCUCAUGGACGCUCCGACAACGUGGAGUAACACCCUGUGAAUGCCCUGCAAUACGGACGUGUCAGCCAGGUGUCUUUACGUUGCAGGAUGAAUUUCCAGGACAUAUUAUUACUUACAGAAGUGGACAAUAACUAAAUUGAUGCUUCACCAAUAAAAAUUUUAGCAUAUCUGCCUUAAA